rnacentral:misc_RNA from 1 species
AACGCACAUUGCGCCCGCCAGCAUUCUGGCGGGCAUGCCUGUUCGAGCGUCAUUUCAACCCUCGACACCCCUUCGGGGGAGUCGGCGUUGGGGACCGGCAGCAUACCGCCGGCCCCGAAAUACAGUGGCGGCCCGUCCGCGGCGACCUCUGCGUAGUACUCCAACGCGCACCGGGAACCCGACGCGGCCACGCCGUAAAACACCCAACUUCUGAACGUUGACCUCGGAUCAGGUAGGACUACCCGCUGAACUUAA